rnacentral:rRNA from 1 species
UACGUAGGUGGCAAGCGUUGUCCGGAUUUACUGGGCGUAAAGGGCGUGCAGGCGGUUUGUUUAGUCUAGGGUGAAAGCUCCCGGCUUAACUGGGAGAGGUCCUUGGAUACUGGCAAACUUGAGGGAGGCAGAGGAAAGUGGAAUUCCCGGUGUAGUGGUGAUAUGCGUAGAUAUCUGGAGGAACACCGGUGGCGAAGGCGGCAUCCUGGACCGGCAUUGACGCUGAGGCGCGAAAGCUAGGGGAGCAAACGGG